GGGGGAUUAGCUCAGUUGGGAGAGCGCCUGCCUUGCAAGCAGGAGGUCACGAGUUCGAAUCUCGUAUUCUCCACUA
rnacentral:tRNA from 14 species